GGUUUUGGAAGCGCCUUGCUUAAACGUUUUCGUUUUCUUUUUAUGGAAUUAAAUGUCUCUGUUUAGAAAUAACUUGCUGAGGUGAGUGACACUGAAAUCUUCACAGACUUGAAACCGGUUUGAAAUCGGGCCUCGUUCGAUUCAAACAGCAGCAGAUCUGAGGUCAAAUAAAUUGCAAGCCAUUUCAACCCAGCGUCAUUGCACUUUGAGAAGCAAUGGGACCACAGUGUGCUAACUGUACCCUUCCCUGAUGUAUUUUCGAUGGCAAUGCAGACCCGCAGACAGUGUGGUGUCAAUACCACUGCCUGUGCAAUAUUCAUUCUACUGUGAAGCUGCUAUUGCUGUGAUCUGCUUAAUGUUUCUGGAUGCUGCCUUUGGUGCAAUACACUGGAAAUGUGGAGGAUUGGUUUGAAAGGGAUUUCAAAUCAGACUUGUGGAUUUCCAUCAGCAGCAGAUCUGAGGUCAAAUCCAUUUAAAAUCUGGACUGUGUCUGUCUGUCUGUCUGCCUGCCUGCCUGCCUGUCUGUCUGUCUGCUUGCCUGAAUGUCUGUCUGUCUGCCUGCCUGAAUGUCUGUCAGCCUGCCUGUCUGUCUGUCUGUCUGUCUGUCUGCUUGCCUCCCUGUCUGUCUGUCUGUCUGCCUGAAUGUCUGCCUGCCUCCCUGUCUGUCUGUCUGUCGGUCUGUCUGUCUGCUUGCCUCCCUGUCUGUCUGUCUGCUUGCCUCCCUGUCUGUCUGUCUGCUUGCCUGUCUGUCUGUCUGUCUGCUUGCCUCCCUGUCUGUCUGUCUGCUUGCCUCCCUGUCUGUCUGUCUGCCUGCCUGAAUGUCUGUCUGUCUGCUUGCCUGUCUGUCUGUCUGUCUGUCUGUCUGCCUGCCUGAAUGUCUGUCUGUCUGCCUGCCUGAAUGUCUGUCUGUCUGCUUGCCUGUCUGCCUGUCUGUCUGCCUGCCUGUCUGUCUGUCUGUCUGUCUGUCUGCCUGUCUGCCUGUCUGUCUGCCUGCCUGAAUGUCUGUCUGUCUGUCUGUGUGUCUGUGUGUCUGUCUGUCUGUCUCCCUGCCUGUCUGUCUGUCUGUCUGUCUGUGUGUGUAUGUCUGUCUGUCUCCCUUCCUGGUUGUCUGUCUCCCUGUCUCCCUGUCUGUCUGUCUCCCUGUCUGUCUGUCUGUCUGUCUCCCUGUCUGCCUGCCUGUCUGUCUGUCUGACUAUCUGUCUGUCUGUCUGUCUGUCUCCCUGUCUGUCUGUCUCCCUUCCUGGUUGUCUGUCUCCCUUCCUGGUUGCCUGUCUCCCUUCCUGGUUGUCUGUCUCCCUGUCUCCCUGUCUGUCUGUCUCCCUGUCUGUCUGUCUGCCUGCCUGAAUGUCUGUCUGUCUGCUUGCCUGUCUGCCUGUCUGUCUGCCUGCCUGUCUGUCUGCCUGUCUGCCUGUCUGUCUGUCUGUCUGUCUGUCUGUCUGUCUGUCUGUCUGUGUGUCUGUGUGUCUGUCUGUCUGUCUCCCUGCCUGUCUGUCUGUCUGUCUGUCUGUCUGUGUGUGUAUGUCUGUCUGUCUCCCUUCCUGGUUGCCUGUCUCCCUUCCUGGUUGUCUGUCUCCCUGUCUCCCUGUCUGUCUGUCUCCCUGUCUGUCUGUCUGUCUGUCUGUCUGUCUGUCAGCCCCAGUUAGGAUUGGAGGCUGGCGUAACUCGAUCUCUCCACACUGACGUGGACGUCACCUAAUGGCAGCCCAGAAUAAGAUCUGUUGUCCUUGUGUUUUCAUUUCAAAAUAUUUCCUGUUGUAGAGAAAUCUGUCUCUGAUUGAGAUCUGGGUUUGCUGUUUUUUUUCUGUAGUUGGUGAAUCGUUUUAUUUUUUUUAUAUACACUGUAUUUCCAGAUCGGCAGUCUUACAGAUUUGUUUGUACAUAAUGUGAAAGAAAUGCAGACCUCCCUUAAAACAGGCCAGAACAGGCUAAAACCGCCCCGCAGUCCUUCUUUCUUGGCUUAUACUGCCACCUUGUGGCGUUACUGCAGAUAUAGUAGACCAAGUUAUAAUGUUGACAAACUGCACCCUCUGGUGGUGUUUUAUAGUUUAUGCAGUUGAACAGUACGGUGUUCAUAGAAAACCGUCACACAUCUCUCUCUUGAUCUGUCUAUUUUAAAAAAUAUAUAUAUAUAAUUGUGAGACUUGCCUUUUAGCUUGAUACUAUAUGUUGUCUUGCUGGGGUUUUUUUUUCAAAGAAAGAAAGAUUAAAAAAAAGGAAAAAAACCCUUUCACACUGGCAUGAGCUACCCAGUUCAGUCUCUGUGCCUCAAGCCUGCCCUGGACUGGAGGGAGCCCCCUUUCACCUUGAGAGAGCCCACUUAAUGUGGGACUUGAUUUUACAAGCAAGAGUUAAUUUCAUGGGGACAGUCUAUCAAUUGGUUGCCUAGCAACUGCCUCCUUACAUUUAAUUAAGAAUAUUUUUGUUGUUUGUUUGUUUGUUUUUGUAUUAAUUAGGAUUGGUCCUUAGUGAUACAUGCUGCCAAAAAUAAACAAACAAACAAACAAACAAACAAACAACAACAAAGAUAUUCUUAAAUGUUGUAUGUCAUAUAUUUGGCAUGAUUUGUAUUUGAAUAGAAAUCAGAAUUAUUGAUUUUCCACUGAUUAAACCCACUUCUGUUAUUAUUUCUCCCCAUUUUGGGGGAAUUUUUAGGUCAAUUGGGGUGGGGGAGAUUUCCUCAUAUUUGAAAACAUUUCUAACUGCAGUGUUUACAAGAAAAACAAUAACAAAUCUGGAUUUUCAACUGCAACUCUGCAUGUGUAUAGGAAAUGACGAUUGCUUUAUAUAUAUAUAUAUAUAUAUAUAAAAAGGACCUGAAAGAUUAUGGAAAUAAAAAUCAUGUUUUGCUUUUUCUA